rnacentral:ncRNA from 1 species
UCUUCCCUGGGAGUCAUUGACACAUCGGAUGAUUUAUCGGUCACCGCCGUCCGAUGCGAGCGACUGGUGAGACCGGCCCAUGAACUU